AUGGACAAGCCGUCCACGCUGCUUGUCCACUUCGACAAGGGCUCCGCCGCCAUGGCGAACGAGAUCAAGGCGGAUCUGGAGGGCAGCGACGUCGCCGCUAAGGUCGAGGCCAUGAAGCGCGCCGUCAUGCUCCUCCUCAAUGGCGAGACACUGCCGACGCUCUUCAUCACCAUCGUCCGCUACGUCCUCCCUUCCGAGGAUCACACCAUUCAGAAGCUGCUGCUCCUCUACCUCGAGAUCAUUGACAAGCGCGACGCCGCCGGCCGCGUUCUCCCGGAGAUGAUCCUCAUCUGCCAGAACCUCCGCAACAACCUGCAGCACCCCAACGAGUACAUCCGCGGCGUCACGCUGCGGUUCCUCUGCCGCCUCUCCGAGCCGGAGGUGCUUGAGCCGCUCGUUCCUUCCAUUCUCGAGAAUCUCGAGCACCGCCACCACUUCAUCCGCCGCCACGCGCUCUCCGCCAUCUCGGCUAUCUACCGCCUCCCGCAAGGCGAUCAGCUCAUUCCGGACGCACCCGAGCUCGUCGAGCGCGCACUCGCGUCAGAGCAGGACGCCUCCGCCCGGCGAAACGCGUUCGUCAUGCUCUGCCUCUGUGGGACGGAACGUGCUGUGGCUUACCUGCUCUCCAACGCCGAGCGUGUCAUGGAGUGGCCCGAUCUCCUCCAGAUGGCCGCAGUAGAUCUCAUCCGCAAGGUCUGCCGCCCUCCAAACCGUGCCGACAAGGGCAGGUAUAUCAAGAUCAUUUUCUCCCUCCGUUCCUCUCCAAGCACCGCGGUUCUGUAUGAGUGCGCGGGUGCUAUCGUGUCUCUCUCCUCGGCUCCCACUGCAGUGCGAGCUGCCGCCGAAACAUACUGCCAGCUCCUCUCAUCGCAGAGUGACAACAAUGUCAGGCUCAUUCUCCUGGACCGUCUGAAUGAGCUGCACACGUCACACCGGGAUGUGAUGGUGGAUGUAGUAAUGGAUGUGCUGCGUGCACUUGCCAGCCCGAAUUUGGAUGUGAAGAGGAAGGUGCUGGAUUUGGUGCUCGAUCUGCUCACUCUUCGUAAUGUGGAGGAGGUGGUGCUUUAUCUCAAGAAGGAGGUGGUCAAGACACAAUCAGGGGAGCUUGAGAAGGGUGGUGAGUACCGUCAGAUGCUGGUGGAAGCGAUUCAUGCAUGUGCUGUGGAAUACCCAGAGGUGGCUGGAUCGGUGGUGCACCUUCUCAUGGACUUCCUUGGUGACACUAAUGUCGCUGCGGCAGUUGAUGUUGUGUUAUUUGUGCGUGAGAUCAUUGAGACUAAUCCCAAGCUGUGUGUGUCCAUGAUACAGAGGCUGAGUGAUACCUUCUACCAGAUCCGGGCAUCCCGUGUCUGCUCAAUCGCUCUCUGGAUCCUUGGUGAGUACUCCCUAUCUUUAUCAGAGGUCGAAAGCGCCAUUGCCACUAUCAAGCAGUGCCUUGGGGAUCUACCAUUCUUCACUAUCUCAGAGGAAGGGGAGUCAGCUGAUUCCUCCAAGCCAGCCCAGCCGGUGGUGAACUCUGUCACUGUGUCUUCCAGGCGGCCUGUUGUUCUUGCAGAUGGCACUUAUGCCACACAGAGUGCUGCUACCGAGGCCAUUUCGACUCCAUCAGUUACUCCUGGAUCAUUAGCAUCGACCCUAAAUCUCAGAUCACUCAUUCUGUCAGGCGAUUUUUUCUUAGCUGCAGUUGUGGCAUAUACCCUUACCAAACUGGUACUAAGGCUGGAGGAGGUGCAGCCAUCGAAGGUUGAAGCAAACAAGGCCUGUACUGGGGCCUUGCUGGUCAUGACGUCUAUUCUGCAGCUGGGACUAUCCUCCUACCUUCCCCAACCGAUUGAUAAUGAUUCAUAUGACAGGAUUGUGCUUUGUGUGAGGUUGCUUUGCAAUACUGGUGAUGAUGUGAGGAGGAUUUGGUUGCAAUCAUGUAGACAGAGUUUUGCGAAGAUGCUUGCUGAGAAGCAAUUCAGGGAGACAGAGGAGAUGAGGGCCAAGGCACAGAUCUCUCAUGCCCAGCCAGAUGAUCUUAUUGACUUCUACCACCUCAAGAGCAGAAAGGGCAUGAGCCAGCUUGAGUUGGAGGACGAGGUCCAAGAUGAUUUGAAGGCUGCAACUGGUGGAUUCACCAAGGAAACAGAUGAUGCAAAUAGACUUAAUCGCAUUCUUCAGUUGACUGGGUUCAGUGAUCCUGUAUAUGCUGAAGCAUUUGUGACAGUUCAUCAUUAUGAUAUUGUACUUGACGUUACUGUCGUUAACCGCACAAAGGAGACACUUCAGAACCUGUGUUUGGAACUAGCUACCAUGGGAGACCUCAAACUUGUUGACCGUCCUCAGAACUAUACUUUGGCUCCUGAGUCAAGCAAGCAAGUACGUGCCAAUAUCAAGGUUUCUUCAACAGAAACUGGAGUCAUAUUUGGGAACAUUGUUUAUGAGACAUCCAAUGUGAUGGAACGAUCAGUGGUUGUCCUAAAUGAUAUUCACAUUGACAUCAUGGAUUACAUCUCACCUGCUACGUGCGCAGAUGUUACUUUCCGGAACAUGUGGGCAGAAUUUGAGUGGGAAAACAAGGUUGCAGUGAAUACUGUAAUUCAAGAUGAGAAGAAAUUUUUGAAUCAUGUUAUCAAGUCAACAAAUAUGAAGUGUCUAACACCACCGUCUGCGCUUGACGGGGAAUGCGGUUACAUUGCUGCUAAUCUUUAUGCCAAGAGUGUGUUCGGAGAAGAUGCUUUGGUGAACAUCAGCAUUGAGAAGCAAGUCGAUGGCAAGCUUAGUGGUUACAUCAGAAUAAGGAGCAAGACACAAGGAAUCGCGCUCAGCUUGGGAGAUAAGAUUACCCUCAAGCAGAAGGGAGGCAGUUAA
rnacentral:rRNA from 1 species